rnacentral:rRNA from 1 species
UAUGUGAUCGUCUCUCGCAUAUCAAUAAGCGGAGGAAAAGAAACUAACAGGAUUCCCCUAGUAACGGCGAGUGAAGCGGGAAGAGCUCAAAUUUGAAAUCUUAAAGGGUUUCCCUUUACGAAUUGUAGUUUAAAGAAGUGUUUUCUGUUGAGGUUUUGGUAAAAGUUCUUUGGAAUAGGACAUCAUAGAGGGUGAGAAUCCCGUAUUUGACCUUUACUUUCAACUUUGUGAUACACUUUCAAAGAGUCGGAUUGUUUGGGAAUGCAGUCCAAAAUGGGUGGUAAAUUUCAUCUAAAGCUAAAUAUUGGCGAGAGACCGAUAGCGAACAAGUACUGUGAGGGAAAGAUGAAAAGAACUUUGAAAAGAGAGUUAAACAGUACGUGAAAUUGUCAAAAGGGAAGCGUUUGACACCAGUGUUGUUUUUCUGAAAAUCAAUUAAAGAACUGUUUAUGCUAAGCUGUUUAGACUUUAUCAGCUAUCUGUUUAGUUUUGAGCUUUUCUUUAAUGCACUUUUCAGUUAACAAGUCAACAUCAAUUUCUUUUGCUGUAAAAAAGCUUGAGGAAGGUGGCUUGAGAUUCGUCUUAAGUGUUUAUAGCCUCUUGCCUAUGCAGUCGGAGAGAUUGAGGUCUGCAGCGUAGAUCCUUCGGGGCUAAAUGCAUUUGUGCUAAGUUAUAGCAUUUUAUAGACAACUUGUUGACUAUGAUUUGUCUUGUAGCUUACUCGCUUAUGUUAUUUUACCUACGCUUAGGAUGUUGAGGACUCUACAGAGAUA